rnacentral:misc_RNA from 1 species
UGAAUACAAUAAGCAACAUCAGCACGAGGCCGAAUCGCUGAGGUGGCAACCAAGAUUUUUCUAAGAUGCCUCUCUUUGGGUGGACACUCGACGUGGUUGGUAGCUUUGACUAUGGCGACAUCCAAUUCCGCAUAAUCGCUAUUGACAUGAGCUAGACCGACUUUGGUGGUGUCUUUGAGAGCACCAUAGGCUUUUCUCCAAGUCUGAAGCGUUCCCAUUUCUUUGUAUUACUUUUCAAAGAGAUUUAUCUUAUAGAGAGCGAUCAGAUCGGCUCCCCUUUCUGAGGCUAAAAAAGGAUUAUAACCGUGAUUCUUUAUGCCUCUGCAUUAUGAGAUAUGAUUAGGCCUCCUCUCUCUCUCUCUCUCUCUCUCUCUGUGGCGUUCUUCCCGGAAUCUGUUCAUCGGGAGGAGAAACUCAGUAGCGAGUCUGCAGUCCGCAGUCUGCAGAAGCGUCCGGCUAUAAAUU